rnacentral:rRNA from 1 species
GACGAACGCUGGCGGCGUGCUUAACACAUGCCAGUCGAACGGAAAGGCCCUGCUUUUGUGGGGUGCUCGAGUGGCGAACGGGUGAGUAACACGUGAGUAACCUGCCCUUGACUUUGGGAUAACUUCAGGAAACUGGGGCUAAUACCGGAUAGGAGCUCCUGCUGCAUGGUGGGGGUUGGAAAGUUUCGGCGGUUGGGGAUGGACUCGCGGCUUAUCAGCUUGUUGGUGGGGUAGUGGCUUACCAAGGCUUUGACGGGUAGCCGGCCUGAGAGGGUGACCGGCCACAUUGGGACUGAGAUACGGCCCAGACUCCGACGGGAGGCAGCAGUGGGGAAUAUUGCACAAUGGGCGGAAGCCGGAUGCAGCAACGCCGCGUGCGGGAUGACGGCCUUCGGGUUGUAAACCGCUUUCGCCUGUGACGAAGCGUGAGUGACGGUAAUGGGUAAAGAAGCACCGGCUAACUACGUG